AAGCCCCGGUAGAAGUUACUCCGCUCUUUAAAAUUUGCAAUUUUAUGUGCUGUACACCACAAGGCU
rnacentral:tRNA from 1 species